rnacentral:lncRNA from 1 species
GUAUCUUUGUUUGGUUUUGUUAUCAGGGUGAUGGUCCAACAUUAGUUUUAAAUGCCAAUACAAGAGCAUUUAAUUUGUAUAUUAAAUCAUCAAAAUUAUAUAAUUUGUAUUUUGGAGCUCAUACAUGCAUAUGUAUUUCAUUCUUACCAGAAAACUGGAAAUAGCACAAAACUAACUUAAUUAUUUUUAUUUUACUUCUUAAAACAUGCACAUUUGACCAACACUUCUUACCUCUGGCUUAUUGAUGAGUAAAAUAGCACUUUUAAAGAAAGGAAUUAUAGAUUACUCUAUUUCUCCUUUUAUUUUUUUAAUUUUUUAUUAUAGUUUAUUUACAAUGUUAUGUCAAUUUUCUGCUGUACAGCAAAAUGACUCAGCCAUACUAUCUUUUUCCUUUUAUGUCCUUUUCAUCCUAAGUGGUUGGCUAAUAUAGGGGAGUAACAUGAGAAAGAAGGAAUAUAAUAGGGUUCCUCUGUCAUUUGUAUUUCUCAUAACCCCACUGUCUUCUUCCUGCAUUCUAGGCAAAUUCUGGCCAGAAUGGAAAGCAUGGCCUCUAGGGCAGUCAGCACUCUGCUUCAGUACAAGUAACAAACUUUGCAUCUCUCUGAACUCCCACAAACAGAAGUCCACUGGAAUUCUGCACUCAUGGAGCAUUUUGAACACAAUAUCAGAAUGGAGUGGUGGAAUUCCCAUCAUGGAUCAGUAGAAGCAAAUCUGACUAGCAUCCAUGAGGAUGCAGGUUCGAUCCCUGGCCUUGCUGACUGGGUUAAGGACCCAGAUUUACUGUGAGCUGUGGUGUAGGUAGCAGAUGUGGUUAAGAUCAGGUGCUGCUGUGGCUGUGGUGUAGGCCAACAGCCACAGCUCUGAUUUGACCCUUAGCUCUGGGAACCUGCAUAUGCCACAGGUGUGGCUCAAAAAAAAAAAAAAAAAAAAAAAAAAAAAGAAGAUUGGAACAACCAAACCAAAGGUGGGUCCCUUCCAAGUGUGAGCUCCCUGGGUGUGACUAUACAAGUCAGGUGACCUUGAAGUCUGCCCUGCAAUAAGUAGUCUGUUAUUCUAGGCCAGUCUACUCCUGCAGUGGAAAUGGAUUCAUCUGGUAAUCGUCUCAGGGACCUGAAUCAUUAAGAGGAUACAACCAACUUCCCCUGCUCUACACCUAUGAUGCAAUCUCACAAUUGUAAUUUGCCAUCCCAUAUGGACUUUUUCCCAAGGAGCAAAGAGUAAUUUAUUCACUCAGAAGUUAAAUUACUCACUAUAAUUUAAUACUGUAAUUUUGGUGUAUGCAUAAGACUAGCAUGAAUUUAAUUAAGAAAGAAAAUGGCCAGAACCUGAUCAUCUCUAAAUAAUUGCCAAAAUCAAGUUUUCUGGACCAAUAAAGAUAAAUGAUCAAGGUUGACAAAUACAUCAUAAAUUCAACAGUGUUGCACAUUCGCAUCCAAUCACCCUAGAUCCAUAUCUCCAUUAUUUUACCUUGUACUCAAGAGAAUUUUUCUCUUAAAAUAUUUUACAUGGAACCUUACUAGUAUCAAAUAUUAGUAAUGGGAUAUGAUGCUCAUUCUAAGCCAAAUGUUUAAUUUAUUGAUAAACUAUUGGAGCUACGGAAUAAAGAGAGGAUUACCCAGCUGUGAUUUAGAUGGCCUGAAUUAAACCCAGAUCUGCUUCAUACCAGCUGGGAAAUUCUUCAUUUGCAGAAGGGGAAUUUUGGGACAAAUAAUCCUUAAGAUCCCUUUCUGAUUUAGAAUUCCAUGACUCUGUAGUACCUGAGAAACA